UGUCUCAGUACUUGCUUUUACAAGGCGAAACCGCGAAUGGCUCAUUAAAUCAGUUAUGGUUCACUAGAUCGUACAGUUUACAUGGAUAACUGUGGUAAUUCUAGAGCUAAUACAUGCACCCAGUCCGUUCCCUCGUGGAGCGGAUGCAGUUAUUUGCCCAAAACCAAUCCGGCCUUCGGGUCGGUCAAUUGGUGACUCUGAAUAACCGAAGCGGAGCGCAUGGUCUCGUACCGGCGCCAGAUCUUUCAAGUGUCUGACUUAUCAGCUUGUUGUUAGGUUAUGUUCCUAACAAGGCAUCAACGGGUAACGGAGUGUCAGGGCCCGACACCGGAGAGGGAGCCUGAGAAACGGCUACCACAUCCAAGGAAGGCAGCAGGCGCGCAAAUUACCCACUCCCGGCACGGGGAGGUAGUGACGAAAAAUAACGAUGCGAGAGCUUUAUGCUCCUCGUAAUCGGAAUGGGUACACUUUAAAUCCUUUAACGAGGAUCUAUUGGAGGGCAAGUCUGGUGCCAGCAGCCGCGGUAAUUCCAGCUCCAAUAGCGUAUAUUAAAGUUGCUGCGGUUAAAAAGCUCGUAGUUGGAUCUGGGUAGUCGAUGGACGGUGCGCUUUACGGCGUCUACUGUUCGUUCGGCACCACAUGCCGGCCAUGUCUUGCAUGCUCUUCACUGAGUGUGCUUGGCGACCGGAACGUUUACUUUGAAAAAAUUAGAGUGCUCAAAGCAGGCGUUAAGCCUUGCAUAAUGGUGCAUGGAAUAAUAGAAUAGGACCUCGGUUCUAUUUUGUUGGUUUUCGGAGCUCGAGGUAAUGAUUAAUAGGAACAGACGGGGGCAUUCGUAUUGCGGCGUUAGAGGUGAAAUUCUUGGAUCGUCGCAAGACGCAC
rnacentral:rRNA from 1 species